rnacentral:sRNA from 1 species
UUUGUCAUGCAUGAUCUACAUAUUCUGCAAGAUCUACAUGAUCUGCAACGCUUGAACUGCUUUUACCAUUUGAAGCCUAAGUUUACCCUCACAAAGAUUCUCUUUACUUCUUGUCAUUAAAUGAACUGUUUGUAUCUUCACGAGAUUGUCGUUAUAGAAAGAAAACCUCAUCCUUCCCCAUUGUUAGGGAUGUCAAAAUGGCUAACCCAACUCAACUCAACUCAUAAUCAAAUGAGUUUAAUGUUAAAUGAGUUAUGGGUUGACCCAUCUCAUUUUGUUGGGUCAACCCAUAACUCAUUUCAUUUGAUGGGUUAAGUUGUUACCCAUUUAAAUAAUAAUUUAAUUAAUAAU